UACGGGGGCUUCGCCUACUCUUUACUGCCUGACUGCUGGUCUUAUUUCUCACAUCCUUCUACUGUACCAGAGACAGCAUUUCCCUGCUGGGAGUCUCCCGGUGUCAAUCCUUACCACAUUGUUUUUUACUAUUAUUCACUUUAAACCUGCACUAUGUACCUUUUGCCAUUAGCAGCCUCUAGUGGCUUGAGGUGUAGCUACAGUUCUACCGUUUUCAGAUGGCAGUUCAUAUCGACUUGGAAUGGGGUUUGGGGGUGCAGUAUUAGACCAUAAUUAGGAGAAAGAGGUUGGAUUGACGGGUAUGGGUAUGUUUUAUUUUUGAGAAACGCUGUAGUUCAGAUAUGUUUUUACUACUGUGUAUAUGGCUGCUGUACACAGUCCAGAUUUAUGUUUGCUUCAUUUAUAAUACAUUUUUCUGUAUAAUAUUUUUUAUGUAUGUGCACCCGUGCUUGGAUCAUGUACAGCAUAGUGUUGGGUAUAGGUACUGAGGUCAGCGUUGGUCCACCUAUAAGGUCAAUAUUAUAUAACAGAUUAGAAAAGACAGUGUAUUUGUUGAUACAGGGAGUUUAGCUUAAUCUCCAAUGUGCAUACAUUCCAUUGAUAUGAUCGCUCUGUAAAUCUAUUAUCUGACAAAUCCGCCAAGGCUUGUCAGAUGUGCAGAUUGUCCCCAACUUCCGGUGCCAGACAAUCACUGUCUGCUAAUGCCAUCUGAUGGUUGUAUAUCAUAGAUGACACACAGGCUGUACACAGCAUAGGUUCAGUGUCUGAGAAGCCUGAGAGGCUGCUGGAACAUGAAUGAUAGAUGAUUGAGUGCCUGUGUCAUAUGCUACCGAUCUGUUACAUUGCAGUCUGUGUGUGAGGCUCUUGAAGAAUGGACUAGCAUGUAGCUCAUCUAGGGCAGGAGCUUCACAGAUGGUGGUGGCAGAAAUACUCGUCAAGUCAACUGAAAUAAAUUUGAUUUAAAUCAAGUAUUACCAAUACCGCCAAUAUACUUCAUUCUGUUCGGUAAAAAAACCGCAGUUCAUCUUUAUAUAAUGGGUUUUCCGAGGUCUUGGUGGACAAUUAUAUUUAACUUCAAAGUUCUUAUGGUAUGAAUAGGAAUGGGUUUUGGCCAUAGACUGGUGCCUGGCGGCCAUUCAUGUAAAGCUCUACUGCAUGUGUGCCAAAUACGGAUUUGCUGCUUGUUUCUGACGCUAGUUGUAAAUAUUGGAGACGUGCCACAUCUAUAUCAAAGAAAUGUGUGUGAACCAAUGGGCUAUGUCCAUAUGUGUCACAGUCUAUGCUUGAAAUAUUACUUAUUUAUAUGAUUGAUAUGCUUUUGUAUUUGCCCAUUCAAGAGCUGAAAUCUAAAUGUUAUGUUAUGGUUUCCUAUCCAAACUGGUUUGUGAAUGAGAGGUCAUCCCGGUUGUAAAGGGAUUGUUCCAGAUCAGGAGCCAGGGAACAAUCCCCUUCAAGUGGAUUACCGAGAGUAUGCACACACGCACAUUCAAGAAAUGUACCAUUUAGCCCAAUGUACCAUUUAGCCCAUCCGAUUUUAUGUGAUUGUCCUGGAUAGGCAAAUUUGUUGUUCUUUAGUCUGACGUAACAUGUUCUUUGGGUGCGAAGUAAUUUUUUUGGUAGCUUUUACCUCGACUUGGGUCUUUUAGAUGUGGUUGAGGCUAAUCCAAUCACAUGCAGACUAGAUGUCUACCAAAAAAAAAUAUGUCUCUCACUUUCAACUUGUAAUCCUGUUAGGCGGCUCUACGGUGUGUGUGUGUGUGUGUGUGUGUGUGUGUGUGUGUGUGUGUGUGUGUGUGUGUGUGUGUGUGUGUGUGUGUGUGUGUGUGUGUGUGUGUGUGUGUGUGUGUGUGUGUGUGUGUGUGUGUGUGUUUGCACGUGCGUGUGUAUGCGCACGUGUGUGUCGGGUUUGGUAUUUAUUGUUUGCGAGGCCUGAGCAAAACAACACUUAACACAUGACUUUAUUGUGUUUUUCUUCCCUGUGGCGUUUUUGUGAGACGGAAAAGAUUACAGAUAGCAGAAGAGGCGUCUGGCCCGUGACGGACAUGUGUGCCCUGCCCUAGAGGAGCUAGUGGAGUCUCGCUCCCUGCUGAUGGACGCAGAUAGGAGGGUCGUCUGUUGUUAUGAGCCACGUAGGUGUUAAGGUGACACAACAUUCUGGGUGUGUGGAGUCAAUGGUUGGGCCAAAACAUUUACCCAUCAUUCAAAGCUCAUUCCAACCCCUUCGUGGUAGACUGGUUCGGGGAUAUCGGCCUUAUUGUAGUCGUAAUCGCGAGACGGUGAUCAAUACGAACAUCCAGUUCAAAAAACCAUGUCAGCAUAUUAGAUAUCAAUGACUUUUGUGACUUUCGCAAAACCCUGCGAGUAUUGGCUGAGUAAAAUUGGAUCGAAUGUCAGUCAUUCACUACAUAUCCAAAUGUAUUUUAAUUCAGUAGAGGAUUGAACCUGUAGUCACGAUCGGCCAAUAGGGUGAUGAGGACAUGCAUCAAGUGUGUCUGUUUGAGAGUGUUUCAGCAGAUUCAAGUAGCACCCAACUAUUAAAUCAGCAAAGUACAUCGAAAUCAUAAACCCCCGACAUCCAUGAACGUUUUAGUACUUUAAACAGCACAAGUUCAGGACAGAAAGACUGAGCGCGAUGCAAGAUGGGGGGUAUACACUAGUGUACAUUUGUGUGUGUGUGUGUGUGUGUGUGUGUGUGUGUGUGUGUGUGUGUGUGUGUGUGUGUGUGUGUGUGUGUGUGUGUGUGUGUGUGUGUGUGUGUGUGUGUGUGUGUGUGUGUGCGCAAUUGCGCACGCAUGUGUGCAUGUGCGCAUAACCUCUGUGUUGUGUCCUGCUCUGUGUCCUCAAUGUGGCGCCACCAGUUAUCACGGCCAUAAAUCACCUUUGUCCUCUUACCGUCUAAAAUCUUUUCAUGAUUGUGUGCGUGUGUUUGUGUGUGUGUGUGUGUGUGCAUAUUGUAUUUUGUCACAGUAUCACAACAAACCUGCGAUUCCAGUGUUGUAAAACAUGCAUGAUGCAAACAUACAUGUACAUGACAUAUUCAAUCAAUGACUUCAAACACACUUCCAAAGACUUGGUCUCCUUCCAAUUUCCGAUUCCCUUUUUGUUCUCUUCAAAGCCCCACUGGGUGCCACACGGCCCAUCCAGUAUGGGGCCCACGGAGCCGCCCUCCACCACACGGCUAACCAGAGCCACACUCUGAGUCCGGCCCUCCGGUGACUCACUUACAGUCAGCCUGUCUCCCCAGCGUCUGCUCUGAUCUAAUCUAACCUCUGCUGCCUCACAGCCCCAUACACUCUCCUUAUCUGUUACCCCUUCCCUCCCCGAGGUGAUAGGACACUGUCUGCCUGCACAGCGGCCAGGGCCGGCGCGCGCACACACACACACACACACACACACACACACACACACACACACACACACACACACACACACACACACACACACACACACACACACACACACACACACACACACACACACACACACACACUCAUGCAUGUGCACACCAAUAAGCACACACAUGGAAACAUCCCGUCCAGCCUAGUUGACACAGCAUUUAUCCAUCUAUAGGGUGAGGAGGGGGCAUCUACUGUCUCGCAUUUCCGACAACCUGAAUGCACCGGAUCAAUGGUGACAUGUGGCCGUUAUCUGGUGUGUGUGUGUGUGUGUGUGUGUGUGUGUGUGUGUGUGUGGAGGGGGAUGAGUUCUGGAGAUGUCCUCAGUCCCAGCUAGACUACACACAGGCAUGUUGUCGUCCACAAGCUCAUAUCAUGAAAGAAGAGCAAAGACAGCCUACAAGAAAGAUAAACAAGACACCAUACGGAGAGAGGGUGGCCCAAACCCUAUCUCUCAGUGUGUGUGUGUGUGUGUGUGGGUGUGUUUGUGUUUAUUAUAUUAUGGCUGGAUGAAUUGAACACCCAAUGCUACAGAACUGGAAAUAAACGUCAUUAUAUUGCGUACCAUCUGUGUCGGCGGACGUUGUUGUUGUUUCGUUCCACCUUUAUCUGUGCGGCGCCUAUCCGUGAACAGGCGCUUUUCUAGUCUCUCUCAGAUUUUCGUCUCUUUUCGACGUCACGUCCGACACGGUUGGUGUUUGUCUUUGUGUGUGUGUGUGUGUGUGUGUGUGUGUGUGUGUGUGUGUGUGUGUGUGUGUGUGUGUGUGUGUGUGUGUGUGUGUGUGUGUGUGUGUGUGUGUGUGUGUGUGUGUGUGUGUGUGUGUUUUUACUCCUCUGGAUGAGUAUCUCUCCAUCUCGGUGUGUGAUUUAUCUGCGGCAGUUGAUCAGUGAUAGGGAGUGAGCUGGCGGCAGGGCAGGGCGAGCGGGAGGGGGGGGGUGAUCCAGUUAGCUUAUCACGGCAGAUUCAAGACACCAGCAGAGACACUACUUCUGUGUGGCUACUGUAUUUUGGCGGCUGUGUGUUUUUGUUUGCAUGUGGGUGUGUGUUCUGUCUGCUCUUAUGUUUGCAUUAGCAAACACGCUUGCUCUGUGUGUGUGUGUGUGUGUGUGUGUGUGUGUGUGUGUGUGUGUGUGUGUGUGUGUGUGUGUGUGUGUGUGUGUGUGUGUGUGUGUGUGUGUGUGUGUGAACACGUGCAUGUAUGUGCAUCAGUCCAUUAGGCACAGAAGCAUCCCGUAAAGUAGUGACUUAAUCAGUGUGGGAUCAGCAGCUAUCAGCCAUUAGGCACCUCAACCCUGCAUUAUCACAGCUCUGCCGCAACCACUACAGUAACUUGUAACUAUAGUGUGUAGCUGUGUGUGUGUGUGUGUGUGUGGGGGGGGGGGGGUGCAUGUGGGUGUGUGUGUGUGUGUGUUAGGGGGUUUGCAUGUGUGUGUGUGUGUGUGUGUGUGUUCGUAUUUGUGUGUGUGUUCAGGGGUUUUGUGUGUGUCACCUGCACAGAAACCCCUUUCUGCUCAGCCUGCCCCCCCCAUCCUGCAGGUAAGCCAGGGGUUUUCCCCUUCCCCAUUGUAUUGAGUGGUGGAGGAGGAGAGGGAUGGAUACAUGAAUGGGUUAGAUGGAGGAGGAGGAGGAGGAGGAAUGCAGAGGCAGUGGACUCCACCACCUUCACGGCCAAACACCAUGACCCCCCCCCCCCCCCCUCCCCUGCACCGAGUUUCUCCUCCCUUCAUACAUGAGCGGCCAUUCAAACACACUAGGCACCUGUGCUGAGGUAUUUCCUCCCCUCUCUCUAAUACACACACUCAGGUAACCUAUACCCCGCAAUUAACUCCAGAGUUUCAUAAAGGUCCCUUGUUUUGUUUUUUCCUUCUUCUAUUGCAACUAUAGCUCUGACAAGUGACCACCACUCUACGCCCUCACCCCUCCCCCUCCAAAGUGAAGAUCCCCCAGACAUUCAAUCUCUUCCUUUAAGACAAACAGACCCCUCUUUACCUGUGUGUCCCCAGCAUUACCCCCCCCCUCCCCUCUGCCCAAUCACACACACACCAUAUCUCUCGCGGUUUAUGUUUUCAUCAAUAGGCACCUUUGUCACCCCCCCGUGCCCCCCCCCCCCCCCCCCCCCCAACCCCCAAAUCCAGUUGCAUGCAUCCACACUUGGACCAAUUUUAGUCUGGCGAGGCGUGUUGUUUUUGGGCCUGCCAGGCAUGCCAUGGGUGCCAUGUUGCACGGGGGCUGGAUAACAGGAGAUGGUGAUUAGGGAACCCUUUGUCAUCAGUAACGAUCAGGUAAGGGUUUCUUAUCACUCAUCUCGGAGGAAGUGCGGCGCCGCUGGGAGGAAGGGAUGUGUGCAUUGAGGGUGGCAAGUGGUUGGAAAGAGAGAGACAGAGACCUAUCACUGUCCCAUGUCAUAAUUCAUUCAUCCACUGGUUUUCUUUCUCAAAGGUGAGAUUAUACAUAUAGCUGAAGCAGCGUGUAUGAGUUCAUGGUACUGUGUGUGUUGUGUGUGACUGAGCUAAGAUAGGCCCGGUGUAAUUAUGGACUGUUAUUUGAUUACGUUUGACCAGGGCCUUGUCACUCGUGCUUGCGUAUGUGUGUAUCUGGGUGUGAUCUUGCGUGUGUCCGUGAGUUGGUGUGUGUGUCGGUGCGUGUGCAAAUGCACCACAUCUAAUCUGUCAGGGAUGAAAUGCCCUUCAGUGUUAGUGUCCUAUGCCAAGUACGUGUGUGUGGUUUUUUUUGUGUGUGUGUGUGUGUGUGUGUUGCUAGGGGCAAUGGAGGCAGAGCAGCUGCUCUUUAUAUUGACUGAAUGGACACCAAUGUGUCAGGCAUCUACCAUGUGUUCACUCUUUCUGUGUUCCACUCAAGUGUGUGUGUAUGUGUGUGAGAGAGAGAGAGAGAGAGAGAGAGAGAGAGAGAGAGAGAGAGAGAGAGGAGAGAGAGAGAGAGAGAGAGAGAGAGAGAGAGAGAGAGAGAGAGAGAGAGAGAGAGAGAGAGAGAGAGAGAGAGAGAGAGAGAGAGAGAGCAGAAUACAGGGAACGAGUGAGUGUAAGACCAUAUUUCUGUGCGGGAUUGCAGAUAUGUCACACAUUGUGCUUGAUAUGGAGAUAUUGUAUCCAGUGAGUUCCAGCUCCUCGCCUCUAUUUACAUACGUUUUCACAAGGCAUCUCUUCCCCAACAUGUCCUCCUUUAUCUCCCGGCCCUCGCAACCCUUCUUCUCAUGUCAACAGGGGAAAUCACGCCCAAGCAUCAUUCAUCGUUAUCAUCAACUCUGACACAUCCUCUCUCGUAACACCACUCUCUCUCUCUCCUUUCUCUCUGUCUCUUUCUCUCGCUCACAGACACAGCCUCUCUGUAUUUUUUCUUUCCAUCUGUUCACCUUUUUGAUCUCUUCCUUUCCUCAUCUGCUCUUGUCUUCAUUCUCUCUCACUUUCGCUCUCUCUCUGGUUCUCUCUCUGGUUCUCUCUCUCUCGUUCUCUCUCCUCUCUCUCUCUCUCUCUCUCUCUCUCUCUCUCUCUCUCUCUCUCUCUCUCUCUCUCUCUCUCUCUGACACUAACCAUGUCUGACAGUGUCUCCAUGCUGUCGCGGACUAAUCCACCUCUGAGAGGUGUUACAGUACCUCCUCCCAUACACACACACACACACACACACACACACACACACACACACACACACACACACACACACACACACACACACACACACACACACACACACAUACACACCCACACACACCCACAGCAACACCAGAUCCCGUAAGGCAUCGAUCGGCAAUCCCGCUCACUCUUAAUGGGGUUUUUUACACGUAGGCAUCAACAUCACUGAAUGCAUCUGAUCACGCUGCACUUGCACGCACAAACAGAGCACACUGUUACGUGCACAAACACACUCCCACACAUUAUCUCAGAGCUAUUGCGGGGGCGUGCAGCCCCUCUUUACUUGGAAGUGUAUUGAAAAAUGAAUAGUGAAGGAGAAGGGGGAGAAAGCACACUCCAUGGCUCUGUGGUCACCAGAGAGCAAGAGAGAAGGAUUGCUUGAAACAUAUGCAUCCCACUCCCCAAAGAGCCCAAUUUGUGUCACAGAUGUUCAGACAAUUUUCAAAACUCACUGUCUCUGUGUUUCUUUCUCUCUCCUUCUAUGCCUCUUUCUCUGUCUGUCUGUCUGUCCGUCUGUCUGUCUGUCUGUCUGUCUGUCUGUCUGUCUGUCUGUCUGUCUGUCUGUCUGUCUGUCUGUCUGUCUGUCUGUCUGUUUAAGAGAACACAUACACUUUCUUUAUCUCUCUCGCUGGUAAGACUAUGCCAUGAAGACCUUGUUUGUGUUUGAUUUAAAAGGAGAUCAGUGAUGAGAAUGACAAGCAUGCACUCACUGAUUGCGCGUGUGGGAAACCCAAAUCUGAAGAUCCGAAGUUGUUUUAGUCCAUCAGACUUUGGCAGUUUUUUGGUAUACUUGAAUCCCCUGCAGUGAGCUCUAUACAGUACAAUACAUAAGAACUUGAUUCGAAUCACAUUUCUCGUCACACUAUGAUGUAGAAUUCCUGCUUGAUUCCAAUAACAAAGAGGCUUUUCUUAAAGAAAGGCAGAGUGUCUGACCGCUGCUGGUGGAGAUGGCCGGAGGGCAACACAGAAGGCAGAGAGCCUUCAGCCCUCUGCUGGGUCACUCACUCUGUCUUUAUGAGGAGGCCAUGAUGGACAGCUCAUAAAAAACUCAAGACGCCGUCUUGUUUUAUUUAUUUUCCCCAUGUAAUCACAAAAAUACGAAUUUGUGGUUAUGGCCUACUACUUUCUCCUUUCUUAUCUCUCUUGCUCUCUCUCUCACUGUCUCUCGCUUCCUCUAUUUUUUUUUUUGCUCUAUUUUUUCUAAUCCUCUAUUCUUUAUCUCCUCCUGCUAUUCCCUCGAGAGAUGUUUCAGCCCGUUUAAUUAUUUUCUGCUAUUCCUGCAUGACUGUUCCCCUCUUCAUCGUGUCCCACCUUUAUUUUUCCAUACCGACUCUAUCCCUUCGCACUUCCUGUUUUAGCUGCAACCUCGGGGCUUUACAGGUGGACGACUAGGAGUCAUUUCCUCAGCAGGUGUGUGUGUGUGUGUGUGUGUUGGUGUGUGUACAUUGGAGCGUGUGUGUGUGUUAGUGUUUGUGAGUGCAUGAUGCGUGCAUGUGCACAUGGGUGUGUGAAUGUGUGCACUUAGAUGCUAUCUGCUCACCUGUUCCUCUCGGGCCCACAGAAGCACUCAUUGUCCAUUGAUACAAGCCGGCAAAAUAUAACCCCCUUCCUACCCACGCACUCCCCCAUUCCACCCCAGCCCCCCAAGCUACCUGACUGGUUGACCGGCAGCUAACUCAUCCAGGUGACAACAGGUGCUGUGUGUGUGUGUGUGUCUCUGUGUGUGUGUGUGUGUGUGUGUGUGUGUGUGUGUGUGUGUGUGUGUGUGUGUGUGUGUGUGUGUGUGCACGCGUGCGUGAGAGGGAUAGUGUGUUUCUGCAUGUGCGUGUGUGUGUGCACCUAAGUGUUGGAGUAGAAUAACGUGAGGAUAAUAUCAAGGAGGAUAUUGUCUGGAUGCCAGAAAAGGAAAAAGAGGGGUCGAGGGGGCGGGGGCUAUGGGGAUGGGAAGAGGUUGCAGCCUUUCUCUCCUCACCUGGAAAUUAUGUCCCUGGCGCCAUUUUAGCCAGCGUGUGUUUCCAAUCAUGAGAGGAACCUGAGUAAUGUCCGCUCGGGAAUUCCAUCACAACUUCCUGUGUGUGUGUGUGUGUGUGUGUGUGUGUGUGUGUGUGUGUGCGUGUGCGAGCAUCUGAGCAUUUGUAUGUGCAGUCGUAUGUGUCUCGGUAAAAGAGAGACAAUCAGUUUGUACCCAUGCAUAAAUUUGACAGUAAGGCAAGAAAUAUACCCCAAAUAUACUUGGGGUGUGUGUGUGUGUCUGUUUGUGUGUGUGUGUGUGUGGAUAGAGAAAUAGGUUGUUUCACAAGAACAACUCUAUCUCAAAAACAAACCCUCAUCUGCAGAAAAAUUAAAAAUAGAGACAAAAUGGGAGAGACAAGUUGUGCUCAAUCCUCUGUAUGCUCUGAUGCACACACAAUCACGCACGCACGCAAGCGCACACAUACACACACAAACAGCUUGUGAGGCUAAAGUGGUUGUGGCAGCAGCGGCACAUGUUAGCUUGUCGUUACUGCACAUCCCAGCAUCUUUACGGCCCAUGUUCAGAGAGGCAAAGCGACAGCUUUCUUAGACAGUUGCUUUUUUCUUGUGUUUUCCUGCCUCACUUUUUUUGCUGUCUCUGGUGUUUGUCAUUCAUACUUAGAUGAGCCUUUGCAGCGUUUGCACAUGUGUGAAUCCUUCGCAGGUAGCUCAAAAUAUGGACGGGUACAUCUGUUCCAUCGCUCUGUCCUUCGUCUUCCUGUCUCCAUUUUAGCUUUUUGCACGCAUUCUUUAUUUUUUAUUGAUGUUUCGGUCAUUUAUUUUGGCUUUAUAUAACGGGUCAUUUUCCGAACCGUACACCUUUAACGACAGUACCAACAAAAGGUUUCAGAUUUUUUCUUCUGCUACUGUGUCUCACUCCCCCCCCCCCGCCCGUCUGGCCAUGCUGUGACAUCCUCAGCGCUCAGGAACACUGAACUCCAGUG